rnacentral:lncRNA from 1 species
CUAUUUCUAUAUGGACUGCCUCUUUUACACAUUUAUAUCUCAAUUUCUCACUUGAAUUUUCCUUAUUCUAUCUUAGGCCUCAUUUGUUUGCAUAAUCUGAAUGAUUUAGAUUUCAGACCAUUAAGUGUAUUUGUUUUUCAUUAAAAUUUUGGCUCUUAAUGAUUCUGAAUAGGUUUAAUUAUUCAGGUCUAGAACUAAGUCUUAAUCAUUAAGAGAGAUUCUGUGUUGGAUAAUAUUUACCGUCACUCUAUUCAUAAUCAUCAGUCACCACCACUAACCACCUAUGUCACCACCACCAUUGUCAACCACCACCACCACCAAUCACCUUCACCGUCACAACCAUCAUUCACAAUCAUAAUUGCUACUAACCACUAUUUUCACCCGCUAUCAUACCUACCAAAUUUAUUAUUUAAUUAUAUCCGCCGCUAUCACCACCGUCAACACCAACGCCAACGCCAAUUCCAAUACCACCAGCAUCAACCACUAUCGACCAAACUACCCACCAACUCAUUUAUCACAAUUAGCGUCAUCGCUAACUAUUUCUAACACAUCAUCAACAUCCACACAUUCUUCGGUCACCACCACAACCACCAUUGUCAUUAGUGUAGCCACCGCUUCAACCACCAUCAUUGCUAUUCUAUAUCUAUACUAAUAAUAAUCUCCACCAUCACAUCUAACAUCUUCAACUACCACCAACACAUCGUCAACCAUCAUGCAUUCAUUUUUAAGCUAUUACAAUCAACACCUCCAACUACUAACAUCAACCAACUUCACAUCACUAUCACCACCACUACCAAUCAUCACCAUCAUAACAAUCACUACAAUACCAAAUAUCGCUACCAUCACAACUAUCACCAUCAACAUUAUUACUAAUCACUAACAUCAAUCAUUACCACCAUCAUCAUCAUUACAUACCAUCUCCAUUUUACUAACAAAUAUAAAUAUUUUUCAAUCAAAUAAUAAUUUUAUUGCAUUAAAUCAAAUAUUUUUUUAAUAUAUAAUUAUUUUUUAUUUAAAUUAUAUUUUUUAUUAUAUAUGCAAAUAAAUAAAUCUGCAUAUUCAGAUAUUGAAAAACAAAUAGUCCUAAUAAUUCAAUUUUCAAAUCUGAAGACAACAUCUUAAUCAUUCAGAUAUACAUUAAGAUUUAGACGUCUAAAUCUUAAUAAAAAUAAAUGUAGUCUAAUUCUUAUUGUUGGAAUUGACGGUAGUGCGAA